rnacentral:tRNA from 1 species
GGUGGAGUGGUGUAGAGGUUAGCACACCCGACCGGACAUUGGGAAGCCCAGAGUUCAUAUCCUGGCUCCGCCG